rnacentral:rRNA from 1 species
AUGACGAAGCACCAGAGACCAGCAGCAGACCGGGCCGUGUCCCUCUCCCUCUCCCUCUCCCUCGGCGCCGUGGCCGGCCUCAAGAAGAAGAUGCGCCGCGCCGGUGGGGAUCAGUUCGUGUGCAAGACGUGCGGCCGCUCGUUCCCGUCGUUCCAGGCCCUCGGCGGCCACCGGACCAGCCACCUGCGCGGCCGCCACGGGCUCGCGCUCGCCCUCACCCUCACCCUCACCGCCGGGGACCAGUACCGUGUCAAGCCCAAGAGUACAACGGAUCAGAAGCAGGCGCACCGGUGCCACAUCUGCUGCCAAGGGUUCGGGACGGGGCAGGCGCUCGGCGGCCACAUGCGCCGGCACCGUGACGAGGCGGUGCAGGCGCCUCCCGUUCUGCUCGAGCUGUUUCUCUAG